AUUGAACGCUGGCGGCAUGCUUUACACAUGCAAGUCGAACGGUAACAGGCCGCAAGGUGCUGACGAGUGGCGAACGGGUGAGUAAUGCAUCGGAACGUGCCCAGUCGUGGGGGAUAACGCAGCGAAAGCUGCGCUAAUACCGCAUACGAUCUCUGGAUGAAAGCGGGGGACCGAAAGGCCUCGCGCGAUUGGAGCGGCCGAUGUCAGAUUAGGUAGUUGGUGGGGUAAAGGCCCACCAAGCCAACGAUCUGUAGCUGGUCUGAGAGGACGACCAGCCACACUAGGACUGAGACACGGCCCAGACUCCUACGGGAGGCAGCAGUGGGGAAUUUUGGACAAUGGGCGUAAGCCUGAUCCAGCAAUGCCGCGUGCAGGAAGAAGGCCUUCGGGUUGUAAACUGCUUUUGUACGGAACGAAACGGUCCGGGUUAAUACCCUGGGCUAAUGACGGUACCGUAAGAAUAAGCACCGGCUAACUACGCGCCAGCAGCCGCCGUAAUAC
rnacentral:rRNA from 1 species